GAUGAACGCUGGCGGCGUGCCUAAUACAUGCAAGUCGAGCGAACAGACGAGGAGCUUGCUCCUCUGACGUUAGCGGCGGACGGGUGAGUAACACGUGGAUAACCUACCUAUAAGACUGGGAUAACUUCGGGAAACCGGAGCUAAUACCGGAUAAUAUAUUGAACCGCAUGGUUCAAUAGUGAAAGACGGUUUUGCUGUCACUUAUAGAUGGAUCCGCGCCGCAUUAGCUAGUUGGUAAGGUAACGGCUUACCAAGGCAACGAUGCGUAGCCGACCUGAGAGGGUGAUCGGCCACACUGGAACUGAGACACGGUCCAGACUCCUACGGGAGGCAGCAGUAGGGAAUCUUCCGCAAUGGGCGAAAGCCUGACGGAGCAACGCCGCGUGAGUGAUGAAGGUCUUCGGAUCGUAAAACGCUGUUAUUAGGGAAGAACAAAUGUGUAAGUAACGAUGCACGUCUUGACGGUACCGAAUCAGAAAGCCACGGCUAACUACGU
rnacentral:rRNA from 1 species